UUAGGUUGGUGCAAAAGUAAUUGUGGUUAUUGCCAUUAAAAGUAAUGGGAAAACCGGAAUUGCUUUUGCACCAAC
rnacentral:miRNA from 1 species